rnacentral:lncRNA from 1 species
GUCUGGGGCCCGCCGGGCUUCGAUUGGUCCGUCUGGCUCUUACUCUGAGAGACGUUCGGGCCCGCGAGGCUCUGGACUCACGUUUGAAUUUGUGGCGCGUAGUGUCCGAGGUGCGGAGUGGAGCUGGGCGUCUUGCUGGAGUCAGCAACUGGGCGGUGAGAGACCCUGAGCGGAGAAUGACCAGAGGGUCGGCCGGCGCUGGAGGGGCCCCGAGUCCAACAGGCCUCCUCGGAAUGCGGCACUUCCACCGCGCUGCUUCCCUCGCCUGAGGCAGGUCCUCUGCUCGCCUCCUCGCAGCCUCUAGAUUCUUCCCUCGCGCCGUUUUCCUCGCGUCUGAGAGACUGUGCGCCCGCCCGCUUCUGUCACCCCCGAAGGAAGGCUGCUCCUAACGCUACCUUCCGGGGUCUCUCCGCUUCCAUCCCUCCCCAGAAGCAGCCCUCCAGCGCUGACGUGUUUACGUCUCCCCCCACUAUCCUGCGCCCCCCCAUCUCUGUCAUAAUUACAGCCUCCUUCCAUCACCAACACUCUCAGAAACUUUCUCCCUGCCUCUGACUGUGGAAAAAUGUCUCCUGAGCAACCUGGUGAGCGUCCCACACCUCAGAGUCCAGAACGUUCCUCAUCAAGAAAGAGGGUGCUGCGGUCCUCCCCUUCCCGCCUGGGACGUAGCGAGGGCACGUGGAAAGCAGCGCGUGAAAGCGCUUUGCAAAGCGGUACGGAAAUGAGGUAUUGUCUCCAUUUUACAAAUGAGGAACCUGAAGCUCAGAGAGACGCCUGCCCUUGGCUCAGCGCCCGGUGCCAACAGAACACCUUUCAGGAUCCACAGCAACGCAGACAACGAGUCCAGGAUCCCGGCCUCUGCUUGGAACGGAACAGUGUCAUGGCGGAGACGACGGCCUUUGUCUUGCUGGGUGUGAAAGCAUCCGCUUUGCAGGCUCCACUGCGGCAGAAUCAAGUUUAAAGGAAAAAGUGAUUAAAGUCAGCUUUGUGCCUCUUUGGUGUGGAAGACCCCCAAACCCCAAGUAGCCGAGUCCCUGGGUCCGAGGAAGGGCUCAUAGUUGGAGCAGCCUAGGCUGUAAUCCUGGCACUUGCGCCUUCGGUUGCUGCUUGCUGUUCGCUCCUGGGGGUCUGGAUAAUCUCCCUUGGCUUUACCGCACUGUCUGGCCCGCAUACAGGGCCCCCGUAACAUAUACCCGCUGCUGCUAUCGCACGAAACUGUGGCGUUGCCCCUGAAUGGAUGGCACUGUGCCAACUCUUCUGCCAUCCGCCCUUGCAGCUUUUUUCUUUCCUGCCUCCCUCCCCUUCUUCUCCUCCUCCUCCCGUCGACUUGACGUUAAUUAACACACGGGUUAAUUGAUUUUAAAAGCCGAAGAAUUACAGUUAACUUUUCCCACAGGGUACAGACGCCAGCCGCUUGGCACACUCUGCCUUUCGCACUGGUGCAGGGGGGCAGGGAGAGCCCGCAGCAAACCUAGCAACUGCUGAGGGAACGUUGCCUGCUUAUUGGAGUAGCGCCGAUAGAAGUCGACGUGGCACUGCCUCGUCCUUACCGUAUGGAGAGCCAUUCUAUAUUUUGUUAAAUAAUCAAAGCACAACCCUGUCUUUCUUCUUCUCCUUUCCUCGUUCAAAACAGGAAAACCCUUCAGAAGUUCUUAUGGGGAAAAAAUAUCCCUCCCCCAAACUAUUUAUCUCAUCCAUAAUAUGCUUUUUUUCCAAUAAGAAGAAAAUACGUGAUGCCUGUUUUUUUUUAAUUACAAGAAGGAAAGCUACUCUUUCCCUAAACAUCACAGGCAAAGAAGAUUUUUUUAAAGAAAAAGUUCCAUAAAGUUUCUUUCUCUAUAUCUCAGUAUUUUGUUUUGUUUCUAUUCCCCUUGACUCAGAUGGGUUAUUUAUGGUGAAAGAUUUCAGUAAGAAA